rnacentral:rRNA from 1 species
CAAUAGCGUAUAUUAAAGUUGUUGCGGUAAAAAAGCUCGUAGUUGGAUUUCUGUUGAGAGCGACCGGUCCAUACCAUGUAUGCGUAUCUGGCUUGCUCUCGGCAUCCUCUCGAUAAACGUUACUGCGCUUGAUUGCGUGGUGCGGAUCUCGGGACUUUUACUUUGAGGAAAUUAGAGUGUUCACGGCAGGCUUUCGCCAGAAUACAUUAGCAUGGAAUAAUACUAUAGGAUCUUGGUUCUAUUUUGUUGGUUUCUAGAAUUGAGAUAAUGAUUAAUAGGGACAAUUGGGGGCAUUCGUAUCAACACGUCAGAGGUGGAAUUCUUGGAUUGUGUUGCGACGAACUACUGCGAAAGCAUUUGCCAAGGAUGUUUUCAUUGA